UUUUAAAUACAAGAUAAGCAUUCGAUCUACGUCAGAGCAUCAGAGCAUCCACAAAUCUUUCUAUAGCAUUGUUAGCAGGGUGGCCAGAACGAUUUUUGACGCUCUCGACGGCGGCGUUGUGAACAGACAGUUAAAGAGAGCAAGGCUGAGUCACACAUGGCCGUGUUAUACUGCCUGUCCAACUCGGGUGCAUUGUCAUUUAAAUCCAACGUUUCUACGGCAACCACCACCCUGGACACCUGGCUGGGGUUAUCUGAGGAUGUUGAGAGAGCAGAAAAACUCGGUCACCGUAGUGAUGAGCCCGGUGUCUGGAGUGAUGCGGAACAGAGCUUCUGGGUCAGACUGGGGAUCGAUGGAGAACCUGAGGGAGACAGAAGAUAAAAAAGACAAAUGGAGAGGGAGAAACGUGUGGCAUACACAAGAGGUGCAGUGUGGGAGAAUUCCAAAUCGGGGUGACCUUGCUUGGAUAACUCUCCACUCUUGGCCCUGCUGCAUAACUAAAAGCAGGCGUGACCGUGUCUUCUCACCCAGACUGACCUUCCAUCUGUCUGGCCCCCAGCUA